AGGAUUACCCUUACAAAAACACUGACUUUAGUUCUCAACUCAGUAAGUGCUUUCUGUUGGGGUAGUUUUU
rnacentral:pre_miRNA from 1 species